rnacentral:rRNA from 1 species
GACGAACGCUGGCGGCGUGCUUAACACAUGCAAGUCGAACGAAAAUACCAAGCUUGCUUGGUUGAUUAGUGGCGAACGGGUGAGUAACACGUGAGUAACCUGCCCCUUACUUUCCUGGAUAACUGCUCGAAAGGGUAGCUAAUACGGGAUAUUCUGACCAGCCUGCAUGGGUUGGUUUGGAAAGGUUGUUUUUCUGGUAAGGGAUGGGCUCGCGGCCUAUCAGCUUGUUGGUGGGGUGAUGGCCUACCAAGGCUUUGACGGGUAGCCGGCCUGAGAGGGUGGACGGUCACACUGGGACUGAGAUACGGCCCAGACUCCUACGGGAGGCAGCAGUGGGGAAUAUUGCACAAUGGGCGCAAGCCUGAUGCAGCGACGCCGCGUGAGGGAUGAAGGCCUUCGGGUUGUAAACCUCUUUCGUCAGGGAACAAGGCACUGCUGUUUUGGUGGUGUUGAGGGUACCUGGAUAAGAAGCGCCGGCUAACUACGU